GAAGAGUGACCCCCGCCUAGGACCAGCAUAUGCCUUGAUGGCAGUGGACACCUGGGUCCCACAGGUUGCUGGCUGUGGCCUGGAGGAAGGGUCCACCAGGUCUCAGUCCUGAGAGACAGUGGAAAAUGGACCAAAACCCGACAUGUUCUGAGGGUAGGAUUGGGGUGGCUGGUUUUCCUCUUCUGUGUUCUCUAACUGCCCCGUAACGCAGAUGAUGGUCUUAUAAUGAGAAGAAGUAAUAGCUGUGUUAUCCUUGAGCUUAGGAGGCAAGACAAGUGUGUUUGAAAUGAAAAGAACAAGUCUUUUCCAAAGUAGUCUCCAUGGAGAUUGUGGGUGCUCUGACACUGCCACAUGGGUCACAGCACCCGACCCAGCCCCCUAAUGUCCCCGCCUCCCAUUCCAGCUCACCAACCACCAGGAGCUGUGGGCCUUCAUCGUCACCAACCUGGCGAGUGUGUAUAUACGGGAAGGAAAUAGACACCAAGAGGUACUCUACAGUCUGCUGGAGAGGAUCAACCCGGACCACAGCUUCCCUGUCAGCUCGCACUGCCUCCGAGCAGCCGCCUUCUAUGUGCGUGGGCUCUUCUCCUUCUUCCAGGGACGCUACAACGAGGCCAAGCGAUUUCUGCGGGAAACUCUGAAGAUGUCCAAUGCUGAGGACCUGAACCGGCUCACAGCCUGCUCCCUCGUGCUCCUGGGCCACAUCUUCUAUGUGCUGGGAAACCACAGGGAGAGUAACAACAUGGUGGUGCCUGCCAUGCAGCUCGCCAGCAAGAUCCCGGACAUGUCGGUACAGCUGUGGUCGUCAGCACUGCUGAGAGACCUGAAUAAAGCCUGUGGGAACGCCAUGGAUGCCCAUGAAGCCGCCCAGAUGCACCAGAACUUCUCGCAGCAGCUGCUCCAGGACCACAUUGAGGCCUGCAGCCUCCCCGAACACAACCUCAUCACGUGGACAGACGGUCCACCCCCCGUGCAGUUCCAAGCUCAGAAUGGACCCAACACCAGCCUGGCCAGCCUCCUGUGAGGCCUUGAUGGGGCCAUCCAGCUCCGCAGAGCCUGCGCGUCUCCGGCUUCCACCCAGACGGCACUCAAGCCUGCCCCCGAGGCGUGC
rnacentral:sRNA from 1 species